rnacentral:rRNA from 1 species
AUCAGCCCGCUCCCGGUAAAACGGGACGGCCCGCCAGAGGACCCCUAAACUCUGUUUCUAUAUGUAACUUCUGAGUAAAACCAUAAAUAAAUCAAAACUUUCAACAACGGAUCUCUUGGUUCUGGCAUCGAUGAAGAACGCAGCAAAAUGCGAUAAGUAAUGUGAAUUGCAGAAUUCAGUGAAUCAUCGAAUCUUUGAACGCACAUUGCGCCCGCCAGUAUUCUGGCGGCAUGCCUGUUCGAGCGUCAUUUCAACCCUCAAGCACAGCUUGGUGUUGGGACUCGCGUUAAUUCGCGUUCCUCAAAUUGAUUGGCGGUCACGUCGAGCUUCCAUAGCGUAGUAGUAAAACCCUCGUUACUGGUAAUCGUCGCGGCCACGCCGUUAAACCCCAACUUCUGAAUGUUGACCUCGGAUCAGGUAGGAAUACCCGCUGAACUUAAGC